UUUUUUUUUUUUUUUUUGGCCAUGCCGCUGCCUUGUGGGAUCUCAGUUCUCUGACCAGGGAUUGAGCCUGAACCCCAGCAGUGAGAGCACAGAAUCCUAACCACUAGACCACCAGGGAACUCUGAGGCAUGGGACUAUAACAUGCGUGGCAAGGAUUUUUACCCCGAGAGCACAAGAUAAGAACAUACUGGAGUGAUUCUUUUAAAAUGCAGUGACUGGGACAAAAUCUUUAUUUUGAGGUCACGUUUCAGGCAACAGCAGAGAGCUCACUGAACCACACAAGUGUGUGGGCAGAGGCUUUACCCCAGCCUCAUAAUUCACUGGACUCCUCAAUAUUCAUCUUCAAGAGAAACUACACAGUCUAAUGUGUGUUCCAGGGCUUGUACCUGAAGAUUCAAUGACAGUAACAUAGAAGAUUGAUUUUGGAGGGCAGUGUUGCAGACGUUGCUAAAAGUUUUGGUCGAGUUAUCUACACCUUUGGUGUAAUGACAGAAUUCAUACAGGUCAGAAACUAUGGAGAUUAACUGAACAUGGGAAGAAUUUGAUGAAAUGAUGCCCCCUGAGAUUUCAUCACAGAACUCAUAUUUGGGAGAAUGCUUCUAAAUGUAUUGAAUUAGGUAAAAAAAAGAAUUGUUGUUUUUUGCUUUUUAGGGCCACACCUGCAGCAUAUGAAAGUUCCCAGGCUAGGGGUCUUAAUCGGAGCUGUAGCUGCCGGCCUACACCACAGCCAUGCAGGAUCCGAGCCGCGUCUGACCUCCAGCACAGCUCACAGCAGCGCCAGAUCCUUCACCCACUGCGCAAGGCCAGGGAUCGAACCUUUAUCCUCAUGGCUACUAGUCGGGUUCGUUAACCAGCGAGCCACUCCGGGCACGCCUCAACCUGAAGUUUGAAGUUUCUUGGUCUCAGGCCUUCUCGACAGGCCUUUGACGAUGGUCCUGUGGCAGGAGUUGGUGAGGGGCAGGAUCUGACUUCUCGAGGGGUGGUACCUUCCCAUCCGUGUUCCCUGUGAAAACGAGGAGCCUGUGUUACCAAAUGCAGUUGUGUGUAAAGUAGCAGUUGUGGGGGGCAGAGGAUAAAAUAUAAAACUCUGAUGGGACUCAUCAUUCUUAUUGCAUUCAGGGUCUUUGUCUAUGGUCAGGUGACCGCGGGUUAUAGGACACGGUGCCCCACCAGAGAUUGAACAGAGCAGGAUGGACCUUAAAGGACUGGACUUGAGAGUGACAGCUUCCUAGGGACCGAUUAUGUGAUAGGAAAAGGGCACAGGAACCGUUGGUCACUUUCUUCAUUGCACGGGAAUAGGUGUGUUUGCAUCUGUGUCUGCUGAGCAGUAAGUCCUUGGAAUUGAAGAGAGAGCAGUUACCUGUAGCAAAAAAUUGAAUUACUAGGUGGUGAGGCUUAGUGGAGGAUAAGCUUAAGGUUUUCUUUUUUUUUUGAAGGGCCUCACCUGCGUUAGGGGUUGAACCAGAGCUGCAGCUGCCGGCCUAGUAGGCCACAGCCAGAGCCACAGCAACACAGGAUCUGAGCCUCAUCUGCGACCUACACCACGGCUCACGGCAACGCCGAACCUUAACCCAUUGAGCGAGGGCAGGGGUCAAACCCACAUCCUCAUGAAUGCUAGUCGAGUUCUUAACCCACUGUGCCACAGUAGGAACUCCCGGAAUAGGAUUCUUUACUAAAGAAAGAAUGAUUCCCAAGCUUAAGGUUUGAACUUCCAGAUUGCCUCAAAGGAAGGAGCCCUCAGGCUUUUUUAUCAGCUUGUCUAGAUAGGCUGAACAGUAGGGAUUUUUUUGAGAAUAAAAGGUGUCAAUAGACAUCAAAAAAUAGAAUCAGGGAGUUCCCGUCGUGGCUCAGUAGUUAACGAAUCCAACUAGGAGCCAUGAGGUUGCUGAGUUCGAUCCCUGCCCUUGCUCAGUGGGUUAAGGAUCCAGUGUUGCCACGAGCUAUAGUGUGGACCAAGACUCGGCUUGGAUCCUGUGUUGCUGUGUCUCUGGUGUAGGCAGGCGGCUACAGCUCCAAUUAGACCUCUAGCCUGGGAACCUCCAUGUGCCACAGGUUCGGCCCUAGAAGAGGCAAAAAAAAAAACCCACAAAUAAAUAAAUAGAAUCAGGAGUUCCCUUGGCUCAGUAGUUAACACCACUAGUAUCCAUGAGAAUGUGGGUUCUAUCCCCGGCCUUUCUCAGUGGAUUAAGGAUCAGGUGUUGCCAUGAGCUGUGGUGUAGGUUGCAGACUUGGCUAGGAUCCUGUGUUGCUGUGGCUGUGGUGCAGGCCGGCAGCUAUAGCUCCGAAUCAACCCUUAGCCUGGGAACUCCCAUAUGCCUCAGGUGCAUCCCUAAAAAGACAAANAAAAAAAAAAAAAAAAAAAAAAAAAGAAAAAAAAACAAACCGGACUCUUUAAUAAACACUGACUGUUCACUGUUGAAAUUCCUGAUUUUUUUUUCAUUUUUUAAAGUUUUAUUGACGUACAGUUGAUUUAUAAUGUGAUAAUUUCUGCUGUACAACAAUGUGAUUCAAUGAUGCAUGUAGAAAUUCCCGACUUUUUGAUUUGGAAAACCACACUUCUUCAUGCUAUUAAUUUACUACAUUUCUUUUCCUGCCUACGCAUAUAUGCCAUUGUAUGAUUCUUGAAAAUGCUUGUAAAAUACUAUUUAUAUAAAUGGCCAGAAAUAUUUUUAUCCUAGUUUAAUGAUAAUUAAUGUUUGAAAUUGUUUAUUAAAUAACAUAACUAAGCAAUUUACUCAAAGAGCAAUUUCCCACAUGCUAUUAAAAUGUCAAUUUCAAAUUGUGAUAG
rnacentral:tRNA from 1 species